ensembl:lncRNA
UUUUUUUUUUUUGCUUUUUAGGGCCGCACCUGAGGCAUAUGGAAGUUUCCAGGCUAGGGGUCUAAUCAGAGCUACAGGUGCUGGCCUACACCACAGUCACAGCAACGCCAGAUCUAAGCCACAUCUGUCACCUACACCACAGCUCAAGGCUUGAAUCCCACAUUGCUGUGGCUAUGGUGUUGCCCAGCAGCUGCAGCUCUGUUUCAACCCCUAGCCCAGGAACCUCCAUAUGUCUCAGAUGCAGCCCUAAAAAAAUUUUUUUUUAAUUUUUUUAAAUGUUACUUUCUGUGACUCUCUUCACUAAGAGAUCCUCAUAAGUGAAGUUCUUGAAGUUACUGAUCACUCUUGAGUGCUGUUUUCCUUACACAGGCUAAAAAUGAAAAGUUGGAAGUGACAGAGUAAGAGUGAAGCAGAUGUAAAUCAUGUUCCAAGACCAGACUCUGAGGGUCCAGCUCUUUAAAGGGCCUAUAAAUUGCCCUACAAGACAAAGGCACAUAGAACAAAGAUGGAACAUCUAAGCUGGAGUCAUAAAAAGCCAUUCUGCUUUAUAUUUGCAGAGAGAAGGGGCUUCAUUAUCCAAUUUUCUUUUUAAAAGUAAUACAAGAACAUAAUUUCAAAAGUUACUCCUCAGGCUUCUGCCAAGGUGUACCUCUAUAUUUCUGCAUACUUUUACAUCUGCUUUUUGACAUGCAGACAUAAUCUACUGACUUCCUAUUAUGGCAAAAAAAAAACUUUAAAAGAAAGCGUUUUAAAUCAAAUUUGGGACUUAUCGUGAAGAACUGUCCAGCAAUGCAUUAUUGACACUAUAGUAAAACAGUCCUUUCAUUCCUGGUCUUCAUAGUCCUAUAUUAAAAGUGACAUAACCAUUAGUGUCUCUAUUUAGAGGCAAAGAGGAAGCUAACUGGGUAGUUAGGCCUAGAUUAUCAGACCACUCUAAAUCUCUCGCUGAAUUUUGUUUAGUGACACUCGGUUUCUCUUGCUCUUUCCACCUGCCCCACACAGUUUAAUCCUGUCCCCAAGGCUACAGGACAAAUGACAGUUGGGAAGCUAAACUUAAUUUAUUUCAAGACAAGCAUCGACACAAUUCUUAGGAGCUCUGCAGAAAGGGAUUAACUGGAACUAAAAGACACCAGCCUUUAACUAGCUGCAAAGUUAUCUAAAGCCAAUAAGCAUGCUGCACUGAAGAGGAAAUGUAUGGCCUCUUCUGCUUACUCGCUGUCCAGAAAAGACCACUUAAGUUCUCCAAAUGUGGACCUGGACUGUGGGAUGCUACAUUUGGGCAGUUUCAGGGGAAACUUCCUGUCUGAUGCCAAGGGUACGAGUGAACUUGAGGUCAAGCAGGUGACCCUGCCAACCAGGCAUGGUACAUUAAGGAGAGGAAAUCUUUUCUCGUGCUAAUCAACAGGAUAAAGGUGAUUAGGCAGGAAUUAUUUUUCAAUGACCUACAUAAUUUCAUCAGAGCUGCUGUAGCUAUUAGCACAGCACAGCUGACUUCCCAAAGAGAUGAUUGUGACAGCAGGACCCUUCCAGAAAAGGCAGAUAGUGGACCCAAUCUACAGGGAAGCAACAACUGGUGAGCACUGUUUACUCCUCAGGGCUGUCUCUCCUGUCUGGGGCUCCUUCCUCCACUGGGAACAUCCCCCAUCCUGGAAGGCUAAGGCUGGGCCUCCUGGUGAAUGGUGGAAGACGGGUCUACUAAGAAUGCAUGGGUCCAAGUGGGUGGGACAGAGCUGGGCUAAUUCAUCGAAUCUGUCCACGUGAUUCGCAAAGUCCCCAACAAACCAGGCUACCGCUACCACCAACACCUUCCUCUGGCUGGGCUUGAAGUAGGACAGCAGCUAGCUCUACUCCCUAGCAGAAGUGGAAUUAACAAGGGACCUUUGUUAAGGUCGGAGCUGGACACACACACACGCAUACAUCAUCAAUAACCACAACCUGAACACAGUUUCAUUAGAGACCUGGAUGAAAUUGAGCAAGAGCCACCCAACAAGUAAGUCCUCACGCCAGAAAAGUGCUGCAAACCUCAGGCUUGCACCGCCUCUGCCUUUUGUGGAAAAGCAAGGAGGUUGGGAGAGGAAAAUUGAGCCCCAGAUCUCUUCGCCUUUGCCAGUUUGUCCCGUAGGACCCAGCUCUCUGGCCCCAGGGACCAAGGAAAGGGGUGGAGAGCUCUGAUGCUAUCCUUCUCAGUCAAAACAAGCUAGCUCUCCCUCCCCCAUUAGUCACCGAGUAACGCCCGGUCCGAAGCUCUGGGAGCCACCUUCGAGGGUCGCAGCGCCUUGCCGACACACUGAUCUUGUUUGGGAUAUUCCCAGCGGGGCCCCAUGCCAAUUCCGGCUCCUCCCGCCCAUUUGAAGAAUGCAGGGAAGUACGCCUUUGCUCUCCCCCUUCCCAUAAUCCCGAAAAUAAAAGAAUCCCUCCAGCGCAAAUCUCAGAUCCGCACGCCAGGUACCGGACAGGGGCCGCCGCUCCUCCUCCCCGCGUGGUGCGGGACUCGCCAGAACUGUCCGGGGACAGAAAGUUUGUGCCGACGUCCUGGGGACGCGGGGCCCCGAGCCACCAACAGCGCUGGAUACCACGAGGAAGGGGGAGCGGACACCUUGCCCAGUCCUGGACAGUCGUCGGCACCGGGGCAGUGGUGGUUCACAGCUCUUGGCCCGGUUUCCUUCGUGUCCGAUCCAACUCAGGAGCGGGGUCCCGGGAAGAAAGUGCCAGGCGGGAGGUCUCAACGCAACUUUCCGCCGGCGCGUCACCCAGUGGUGGAGCCUUGCCGUUCCGGCCUCC